AUUGAACGCUGGCGGCAGGCCUAACACAUGCAAGUCGAACGGUAACAGGAAGCAGCUUGCUGCUUCGCUGACGAGUGGCGGACGGGUGAGUAAUGUCUGGGAAACUGCCUGAUGGAGGGGGAUAACUACUGGAAACGGUAGCUAAUACCGCAUAACGUCGCAAGACCAAAGAGGGGGACCUUAGGGCCUCUUGCCAUCGGAUGUGCCCAGAUGGGAUUAGCUAGUAGGUGGGGUAACGGCUCACCUAGGCGACGAUCCCUAGCUGGUCUGAGAGGAUGACCAGCCACACUGGAACUGAGACACGGUCCAGACUCCUACGGGAGGCAGCAGUGGGGAAUAUUGCACAAUGGGCGCAAGCCUGAUGCAGCCAUGCCGCGUGUAUGAAGAAGGCCUUCGGGUUGUAAAGUACUUUCAGCGGGGAGGAAGGGAGUAAAGUUAAUACCUUUGCUCAUUGACGUUGCCCGCAGAAGAAGCACCGGCUAACUCCGUG
rnacentral:rRNA from 1 species